CUUUCCCCUCUCUGACAAGCUCCCCUUCUGCUCUAAAUUUUAGCUCUAAAUUCACCACUUACAGGCUACCACCUGUAUACUCAUUACUUUAAAGGAGAAAUGUCCACGAAAGCCUCUCUUGGAUGCCCCACAGUAGGGGUCCCCAGCCACUUCCCUCCAACCCUACACCAGUCCUUGGUCUGUUAGGAACUGGGCCACACCACAGGAGGAUGGGCAAAGCUGUACCUCUGCAUCGCUUGCAUUACCCUCUGAGCUCCGCCUCCUGUCAGAUCAGCAGCAGCAUUAGAUCCUUAUAGGAGCUCGCACCCUAUCGUGAACUGUGCAUGUGAAGGAGGGACUGGUAAUUUGCAUGGAGCUACUCUGAGGAUUAACCGUGAUUACCCAGCGAAAGGACACCUUGCCUGGUGUACCUGGGCCGUCUCAGCGACACAGUCUCAGCCCAGUUCUCUAGUGUGUGGCGUUCCUGCUGCUCCCCUCCACAUGCGUCCUGUCUGCCAGCCUGCCCAGAUCACUGUCCUGGAUUUCUGCCCCAUGCCACCCAGAGAAAUCCUUUCAGGCAGCUUCCUCAAGAUACCAGGUACCUUCCAGCCCUACCAUGCCCCUGGGGAUGUGAUACCCUCCCAGGAGUAACCAUAACUAAUGAAGGUCCAAUUCUCAAUUUGGGGAG